rnacentral:lncRNA from 1 species
CUUGGGUCGCAGCUGAAGGACAGGAUUCCAGUUGCAGAACUCUCAGCCAGUGGACCCUUUGAGAGUCAUGAUCUUCUCCGGAAAGGGUUUUCUUGUGUGCAAAGUGAACUUUUGCCCAGUCACCCUCUUGAAUUAUUCAAGAAAAAAAUUUCCAGCUCAACCAGGACAAGAUGAACUUUUCCACCCUGAGGAACAUCCAGGGUGUGUUUGCUCCCCUGAAGUGACAGAUGGAGUUCAAGGCAGUGCAACAGGUUCAGCGUCUUCCGUUUCUUCCGAGCUCAAACCUCUUGCUGGAUAUUUUGAGGGGCAACGAUGAGACCACUGGUUUUGAGGAUAUUCUUAAGGAUCCAUCACAGAGUGAACUGAUGGGCGAGCCUCACUUGAUGGAAUAUAAGCUGGGCUUGCUGUGAUGCAGGGCGCCGUGCAGGAACCACGGAUGCGCUUCUCGUAGUUGCCUCUGCUGCAGUCUGAUGUUCACAGCAUUAAAGUACUG